GAGGUUGUGCCCUUGAGGCGUGGCUUCCGGAGCUAACGCGUUAAGUCGACCGCCUGGGGAGUACGGCCGCAAGGUUAAAACUCAAAUGAAUUGACGGGGGCCCGCACAAGCGGUGGAGCAUGUGGUUUAAUUCGAUGCAACGCGAAGAACCUUACCUGGUCUUGACAUCCACGGAAGUUUUCAGAGAUGAGAAUGUGCCUUCGGGAACCGUGAGACAGGUGCUGCAUGGCUGUCGUCAGCUCGUGUUGUGAAAUGUUGGGUUAAGUCCCGCAACGAGCGCAACCCUUAUCCUUUGUUGCCAGCGGUCCGGCCGGGAACUCAAAGGAGACUGCCAGUGAUAAACUGGAGGAAGGUGGGGAUGACGUCAAGUCAUCAUGGCCCUUACGACCAGGGCUACACACGUGCUACAAUGGCGCAUACAAAGAGAAGCGACCUCGCGAGAGCAAGCGGACCUCAUAAAGUGCGUCGUAGUCCGGAUUGGAGUCUGCAACUCGACUCCAUGAAGUCGGAAUCGCUAGUAAUCGUGGAUCAGAAUGCCACGGUGAAUACGUUCCCGGGCCUUGUACACACCGCCCGUCACACCAUGGGAGUGGGUUGCAAAAGAAGUAGGUAGCUUAACCUUCGGGAGGGCGCUUACCACUUUGUGAUUCAUGACUGGGGUGAAGUCGUAACAAGGUAACCGUAGGGGAACCUGCGGUUGGAUCAC
rnacentral:rRNA from 1 species